UACGUAGGGCGCAAGCGUUGUCCGGAAUUAUUGGGCGUAAAGAGCUCGUAGGCGGCCUGUUGCGUCCGCUGUGAAAUCCCGGGGCUCAACCCCGGGCCUGCAGUGGAUACGGGCUGGCUAGAGGCAGGCAGGGGAGAACGGAAUUCCUGGUGUAGCGGUGAAAUGCGCAGAUAUCAGGAGGAACACCGGUGGCGAAGGCGGUUCUCUGGGCCUGUACUGACGCUGAGGUGCGAAAGCGUGGGGAGCAAACAGG
rnacentral:rRNA from 1 species